rnacentral:rRNA from 1 species
GACGAACGCUGGCGGCGUGCCUAAUACAUGCAAGUCGAGCGCAGGAAAUCAUCUGAACCCUUCGGGGGGACGUUGAUGGAAUGAGCGGCGGACGGGUGAGUAACACGUAAAGAACCUGCCCUCAGGUCUGGGAUAACCACGAGAAAUCGGGGCUAAUACCGGAUGGGUCAUCGGACCGCAUGGUCCGAGGGUGAAAGGCGCUUCGGCGCGGCCGGGGGGUGGCUUUGUGGUGCAUUAGCUAGUUGGUGGGGUAAUGGCCCACCAAGGCGACGAUGCAUAGCCGACCUGAGAGGGUGAUCGGCCACACUGGGACUGAGACACGGCCCAGACUCCUACGGGAGGCAGCAGUAGGGAAUCUUCCACAAUGGACGAAAGUCUGAUGGAGCAACGCCGCGUGAACGAUGAAGGCCUUCGGGUCGUAAAGUUCUGUUGUAAGGGAAGAACAAGUGCCGCAGGCAAUGGCGGCACCUUGACGGUACCUUGCGAGAAAGCCACGGCUAACUACGUGCCAGCCGCCGCCGUAA